UACGGAGGGUGCAAGCGUUAUCCGGAUUCACUGGGUUUAAAGGGUGCGUAGGUGGGCUGGUAAGUCAGUGGUGAAAUCUCCAGGCUUAACUUGGAAACUGCCAUUGAUACUAUAGGUCUUGAAUUAUCUGGAGGUAAGCGGAAUAUGUCAUGUAGCGGUGAAAUGCUUAGAUAUGACAUAGAACACCAAUUGCGAAGGCAGCUUACUACGGAUUGAUUGACACUGAGGCACGAAAGCGUGGGGAUCAAACAGG
rnacentral:rRNA from 1 species